AAUUAAUAGAGAAGAGAAUGAAAUUGAAUUUUCUAGAAAUGACUGUCAAUGGUUAUCUGUAUAAAAAGUAUAUAUUUAGCUGUUAUACUAUGAAACUAUAACAAGUCUUUACUAUUUUGUGUUAAAAUAAGCUUAAAAAAUCAUAUUGCUCAGUAAUGCCCACUAUUACCCAUUUCUGGGAGUAUUGCCCAGCCCGGGAAAACCCUGGUUUUCCCGCCCGGGAAUUCCCGGGUGGGUAAUACUUUGCCAACCCUGCGC
rnacentral:lncRNA from 1 species